AGGGGCCUGCUCAAAGAUACAGAGGGCGACGCUGCGCAUCAAGGAACGCAGCCCCUGCCCGAAGAAGGGUUGGUCUGGGAGCACUGACGCUGAUCCCGGGGCGCUCAGCCUCACCGAAUGGAGGAAAAUGGCUUCAUGGACUCCGAGUCCUGAUCAAACAUAUAGGAACUGUGGAUUUUCCAGUAGAACUUUUCCAGAUACGUAUAGACAGUGAAGGAAAGAAGGAAAAAAACAAGGUGAUCUGGGGUUGGCAUAUCAUCUCAGGCUGACUGCCC
rnacentral:lncRNA from 1 species